rnacentral:ribozyme from 13 species
UCUCUCCAUCUAUCUCCCUUUUUUUCUAUCUGGAACACCAUUGAGAGGCUGCUUUCUCUCGAUAUAUAGAGAGGAAAAGAAGAAGAAGAAGAACCUAUUGAUAUAUAUUGUUGUUAGAUGGAAAGAGAAUAUUGUCAAAUAUUCUUUUGUGUUUUCUAUAAACACUUUUGAACAAAAAAGAAAAACAAACAAAAACA